AAAUCGCACUUAGUUCACUUAAUGACGUUUACAAAGCUGUCAGAUUUCGAAAUAGUUGAUGUUAUUUCAGUGUAAUUUUAAUAUUUUUCCUGAUUCCGCAAUAAUUGGAUAUUUGAAAAUCAUCUUGCUUCUAUGACAUUUCAAUUUUGAUAUGAUUUAUUGCUUUCACUAAUCUGACCUGAUUAAACAGCAAAGAAAGACGAAGUAAUAGGAAAAGUAUUAGAACGCUGAAACUCUUUUUGAAAAAAUCCAUAUCUUUGUAACCAGUAACGAGUCUGAACAUAAGAAAAAAAACAUGCACAAAGUUUUUGUUAUUCUGUUACUUUUUGUGCUUGUUGGAACUGCUUAUAUGCAAUGCACAACUGACUGCAGUGCGGCUCAAUGCGAACGAGAAAAAUGCAGUGAAAGUGAACGAGAUGUAAGAGGAAAAUGUGAUUGUUGUCCUGUCUGCGCACCGUUCUUUGGACCAUGAUAAGAAAAGUUAUGAAGGUAAUAGUUACUAAAGAGUGAAAUGUUAGCGAGGAGAAGUAUAACAUAUAAUGUAAUGUAAAUUCCUUCACUGAAUUAAACGUUUUGAUUCGAAAAAA